GAUGAACGCUGGCGGCGUGCCUAAUACAUGCAAGUCGAGCGAAUGGAUUAAGAGCUUGCUCUUAUGAAGUUAGCGGCGGACGGGUGAGUAACACGUGGGUAACCUGCCCAUAAGACUGGGAUAACUCGGGGAAAACAGGGCUAAUACCGGAUAACAUUUCGAACAGCAUGGUUCGAAAUUGAAAGGCGGCUUCGGCUGGCACUUAUGGAUGGAACCGCGUCGCAUUAGCUAGUUGGUGAGGUAACGGCUCACCAAGGCAACGAUGCGUAGCCGACCUGAGAGGGUGAUCGGCCACACUGGGACUGAGACACGGCCCAGACUCCUACGGGAGGCAGCAGUAGGGAAUCUUCCGCAAUGGACGAAAGUCUGACGGAGCAACGCCGCGUGAGUGAUGAAGGCUUUCGGGUCGUAAAACUCUGUUGUUAGGGAAGAACAAGUGCUAGUUGAAUAAGCUGACACCUUGACGGUACCUAACCAGAAAGCCACGGCUAACUACGUGCCAGCAGCCGCAGUAA
rnacentral:rRNA from 1 species